UUGGUCCGACCGAUGCGCAGGUGAAGGGAAGCCGGUGGAAAUCCGGCGCAGCCCCCGCUGCUGUGAGGCGGAUCCCGCGCCGAACGCCACUGUCCAUGGGAUGGGAAGGCGGCGCGGGAGACGAUGCCGAGCCAGAAGACCUGCCCGCG
rnacentral:ncRNA from 1 species